UACGUAGGGUGCAAGCGUUGUCCGGAUUUAUUGGGCGUAAAGAGCCCGCAGGCGGCUUGGCAAGUUUGAGGUGAAAUCUCCCGGCUUAACUGGGAGGGGGCCUCGAAAACUGCCAGGCUUGAGGCAUGGAGAGGGAUGCGGAAUUCCCGGUGUAGUGGUGAAAUGCGUAGAUAUCGGGAGGAACACCAGUGGCGAAGGCGGCAUCCUGGCCUGUCCUGACGCUCAGGGGCGAAAGCGUGGGGAGCAAACCGG
rnacentral:rRNA from 1 species